UUAAGCGACUAAGCGUACACGGUGGAUGCCCUGGCAGUCAGAGGCGAUGAAGGACGUGCUAAUCUGCGAUAAGCGUCGGUGAGGUGAUAUGAACCGUUAUAACCGGCGAUUUCCGAAUGGGGAAACCCAGUGUGUUUCGACACACUAUCAUUAACUGAAUCCAUAGGUUAAUGAGGCGAACCGGGGGAACUGAAACAUCUAAGUACCCCGAGGAAAAGAAAUCAACCGAGAUUCCCCCAGUAGCGGCGAGCGAACGGGGAGGAGCCCAGAGCCUGAAUCAGUGUGUGUGUUAGUGGAAGCGUCUGGAAAGGCGCGCGAUACAGGGUGACAGCCCCGUACACAAAAAUGCACAUAUUGUGAGCUCGAUGAGUAGGGCGGGACACGUGGUAUCCUGUCUGAAUAUGGGGGGACUAUCCUCCAAGGCUAAAUACUCCUGACUGACCGAUAGUGAACCAGUACCGUGAGGGAAAGGCGAAAAGAACCCCGGCGAGGGGAGUGAAAAAGAACCUGAAACCGUGUACGUACAAGCAGUGGGAGCCUCUUUAUGGGGUGACUGCGUACCUUUUGUAUAAUGGGUCAGCGACUUAUAUUCUGUAGCAAGGUUAACCGAAUAGGGGAGCCGAAGGGAAACCGAGUCUUAACUGGGCGUUAAGUUGCAGGGUAUAGACCCGAAACCCGGUGAUCUAGCCAUGGGCAGGUUGAAGGUUGGGUAACACUAACUGGAGGACCGAACCGACUAAUGUUGAAAAAUUAGCGGAUGACUUGUGGCUGGGGGUGAAAGGCCAAUCAAACCGGGAGAUAGCUGGUUCUCCCCGAAAGCUAUUUAGGUAGCGCCUCGUGAAUUCAUCUCCGGGGGUAGAGCACUGUUUCGGCAAGGGGGUCAUCCCGACUUACCAACCCGAUGCAAACUGCGAAUACCGGAGAAUGUUAUCACGGGAGACACACGGCGGGUGCUAACGUCCGUCGUGAAGAGGGAAACAACCCAGACCGCCAGCUAAGGUCCCAAAGUCAUGGUUAAGUGGGAAACGAUGUGGGAAGGCCCAGACAGCCAGGAUGUUGGCUUAGAAGCAGCCAUCAUUUAAAGAAAGCGUAAUAGCUCACUGGUCGAGUCGGCCUGCGCGGAAGAUGUAACGGGGCUAAACCAUGCACCGAAGCUGCGGCAGCGACACUAUGUGUUGUUGGGUAGGGGAGCGUUCUGUAAGCCUGUGAAGGUGGCCUGUGAGGGUUGCUGGAGGUAUCAGAAGUGCGAAUGCUGACAUAAGUAACGAUAAAGCGGGUGAAAAGCCCGCUCGCCGGAAGACCAAGGGUUCCUGUCCAACGUUAAUCGGGGCAGGGUGAGUCGACCCCUAAGGCGAGGCCGAAAGGCGUAGUCGAUGGGAAACAGGUUAAUAUUCCUGUACUUGGUGUUACUGCGAAGGGGGGACGGAGAAGGCUAUGUUGGCCGGGCGACGGUUGUCCCGGUUUAAGCGUGUAGGCUGGUUUUCCAGGCAAAUCCGGAAAACCAAGGCUGAGGCGUGAUGACGAGGCACUACGGUGCUGAAGCGACAAAUGCCCUGCUUCCAGGAAAAGCCUCUAAGCAUCAGGUAACAUCAAAUCGUACCCCAAACCGACACAGGUGGUCAGGUAGAGAAUACCAAGGCGCUUGAGAGAACUCGGGUGAAGGAACUAGGCAAAAUGGUGCCGUAACUUCGGGAGAAGGCACGCUGAUAUGUAGGUGAAGCGACUUGCUCGUGGAGCUGAAAUCAGUCGAAGAUACCAGCUGGCUGCAACUGUUUAUUAAAAACACAGCACUGUGCAAACACGAAAGUGGACGUAUACGGUGUGACGCCUGCCCGGUGCCGGAAGGUUAAUUGAUGGGGUUAGCGGUAACGCGAAGCUCUUGAUCGAAGCCCCGGUAAACGGCGGCCGUAACUAUAACGGUCCUAAGGUAGCGAAAUUCCUUGUCGGGUAAGUUCCGACCUGCACGAAUGGCGUAAUGAUGGCCAGGCUGUCUCCACCCGAGACUCAGUGAAAUUGAACUCGCUGUGAAGAUGCAGUGUACCCGCGGCAAGACGGAAAGACCCCGUGAACCUUUACUAUAGCUUGACACUGAACAUUGAGCCUUGAUGUGUAGGAUAGGUGGGAGGCUUUGAAGUGUGGACGCCAGUCUGCAUGGAGCCGACCUUGAAAUACCACCCUUUAAUGUUUGAUGUUCUAACGUUGGCCCGUAAUCCGGGUUGCGGACAGUGUCUGGUGGGUAGUUUGACUGGGGCGGUCUCCUCCUAAAGAGUAACGGAGGAGCACGAAGGUUGGCUAAUCCUGGUCGGACAUCAGGAGGUUAGUGCAAUGGCAUAAGCCAGCUUGACUGCGAGCGUGACGGCGCGAGCAGGUGCGAAAGCAGGUCAUAGUGAUCCGGUGGUUCUGAAUGGAAGGGCCAUCGCUCAACGGAUAAAAGGUACUCCGGGGAUAACAGGCUGAUACCGCCCAAGAGUUCAUAUCGACGGCGGUGUUUGGCACCUCGAUGUCGGCUCAUCACAUCCUGGGGCUGAAGUAGGUCCCAAGGGUAUGGCUGUUCGCCAUUUAAAGUGGUACGCGAGCUGGGUUUAGAACGUCGUGAGACAGUUCGGUCCCUAUCUGCCGUGGGCGCUGGAGAACUGAGGGGGGCUGCUCCUAGUACGAGAGGACCGGAGUGGACGCAUCACUGGUGUUCGGGUUGUCAUGCCAAUGGCACUGCCCGGUAGCUAAAUGCGGAAGAGAUAAGUGCUGAAAGCAUCUAAGCACGAAACUUGCCCCGAGAUGAGUUCUCCCUGACUCCUUGAGAGUCCUGAAGGAACGUUGAAGACGACGACGUUGAUAGGCCGGGUGUGUAAGCGCAGCGAUGCGUUGAGCUAACCGGUACUAAUGAACCGUGAGGCUUAACCUU
rnacentral:rRNA from 1 species